UCUUUAGACCUGUGCAAUGAUGUCUUAGGACAAUGUGUCAGGGUAGGAAUACAGCAGCACACCCUAUAAUGUUAUGUGCCGCAGGUAUCUGGAGAAGG
rnacentral:SRP_RNA from 1 species